AACAAACAGGGAAUUGAUAUUACUUAUUUUCAAAUGCUUUAUAUAUGUAGUUGAUAUAACGUUAAAGUGUUUUUACAUUGUGCGGUUUGGUGAAAAAGGUUGUAUGCAUGAAGGUUGGACUUGGCUGACUUGGUGCUUCCGUCAAGUCUGUGUUCUACAGCUGGGAAAUACACUUCAGGCAACUCGAAAGCGGACUGUACAGUGAAGCACCCACCCACUGACCCACCCAUGCAAGCAAGCCGUGCGCUGCUGGUACGCACCCACUGACCGACUGACCGACUGACCAACUGACCGAUCGAGCCCCUCACACACCCAACCAGGAGGAGGUUCCGUUUCAGCGCGAGUCUGCUCACCGAGGCCUUGUUUCCCAGGGAAACGGUGUGGCCAGUUAUCACACAGCCAGCACCAGGACGAUCCACAAGGCUGUACCACUGACCGCUAAGACCCCCCCUCCCCCAGUCUGUCCCCCCCAAUCCACCCCCCCCGACCCUCUCCAGGUCCGUGUGCUGUUUCCCAGAAGAAGCAGAAUGAGAGGAGAGCACAUUUCCUUUAUUGGAGAAAUAAUCACAGCUUUGAUUGCGAACAGAAUUGGAGUCUCAGCAUUUUACUUAACUGCAGGAGAGCAUGAGCUGCAGUCCUGGGACAGACUGUGGGUGGUGGGGUGGGGUGAGGUGAGGUGGGGUGGGGUGUCUGCUCUUCUGCUCCCUCCACCCCGGGGUUCGGGUGGUGAGGUGAGGGUGACAGGAAGCAAACGGGGGGGGGGCCUGGUUCGCUUGUCCUGAUUACGGCUGGUAGAGCUGGUGUGAAAGGCUCAGCCUGCAGCUGCUGCAGCUCUUGCGGUCUGUAAUGGACCUGGCUGCUUCCUGUUAUAGAGUAUUGAUCGGACCGGAGUGGGGAGGGCGGUUUUCAUUGCAAUCUCUGUUUGGCAGAAAGACACACUCCACACCCAGAAAUACAUGCAAGUCAGUACUAUGUAUGGAGAGAGAUAGGCUAUGU